AUUUAAGACAUUAAGUCUUCACCGGAUAAGCGUUAGCCUAACCUGUAUCACAAUGGUUUACAUCAACAUGUUAAGGUUUUCGAAUCCAGCUUUCACAAGUUUUACCAAGUUACUAACAUAGGUUCUAAUUUGAAUGGAUAGCUAAACCCAGACAGUUUCACGGAACACAAGCCGCUUUCAUGCAUCUCAGGUUUAACCCCGAAACACACUUCCGCUAAACCUGUAAAAGUUUUGAUUUAACGUGCAAGCUUGCUUUUUUAAGGCAAACUCACACAGGUGUGGUAAUGAUCCUUCCGCAGGUUCACCUACGGAAA
rnacentral:misc_RNA from 1 species